rnacentral:rRNA from 1 species
GACGAACGCUGGCGGCGUGCCUAAUACAUGCAAGUCGAGCGGACCGACGGGAGCUUGCUCCCUUAGGUCAGCGGCGGACGGGUGAGUAACACGUGGGUAACCUGCCUGUAAGACUGGGAUAACUCCGGGAAACCGGGGCUAAUACCGGAUGCUUGAUUGAACCGCAUGGUUCAAUCAUAAAAGGUGGCUUUUAGCUACCACUUACAGAUGGACCCGCGGCGCAUUAGCUAGUUGGUGAGGUAACGGCUCACCAAGGCGACGAUGCGUAGCCGACCUGAGAGGGUGAUCGGCCACACUGGGACUGAGACACGGCCCAGACUCCUACGGGAGGCAGCAGUAGGGAAUCUUCCGCAAUGGACGAAAGUCUGACGGAGCAACGCCGCGUGAGUGAUGAAGGUUUUCGGAUCGUAAAACUCUGUUGUUAGGGAAGAACAAGUACCGUUCGAAUAGGGCGGCACCUUGACGGUACCUAACCAGAAAGCCACGGCUAACUACGUGCCAGCAGCCGCGGUAAUACGUAGGUGGCAAGCGUUGUCCGGAAUUA